rnacentral:rRNA from 1 species
GAUGAACGCUAGCGGCAGGCCUAAUACAUGCAAGUCGAACGGUGUCUUCGGACACAGUGGCGCACGGGUGCGUAACACGUAUGCAACCUACCUUACAUUGGGGGAUAGCCUUUCGAAAGGGAGAUUAAUACCGCAUAAGACAGUAGCCGGGCAUCCAGCAGCUGUUAAAGAUUUAUCGAUGUAAGAUGGGCAUGCGUCCAAUUAGUUAGUUGGCGAGGUAACGGCUCACCAAGACUUUGAUUGGUAGGGGAACUGAGAGGUCAAUCCCCCACACUGACACUGAGAUACGGGCCAGACUCCUACGGGAGGCAGCAGUAGGGAAUAUUGGGCAAUGGACGCAAGUCUGACCCAGCCAUGCCGCGUGCAGGAAGAAGGCGUUAUGCGUUGUAAACUGCUUUUAUAUAGGAAGAAACGACCCUUGCGAGGGGCAUUGACGGUACUAUAUGAAUAAGCACCGGCUAACUCCGUGCCAGCCGCCGCGGUAAAAC